rnacentral:rRNA from 1 species
GUGGGGAAUAUUGGACAAUGGGCGAAAGCCUGAUCCAGCAAUGCCGCGUGAGUGAUGAAGGCCUUAGGGUUGUAAAGCUCUUUUACCAGGGAUGAUAAUGACAGUACCUGGAGAAUAAGCUCCGGCUAACUCCGUGCCAGCAGCCGCGGUAAUACGGAGGGAGCUAGCGUUGUUCGGAAAUACUGGGCGUAAAGCGCACGUAGGCGGCGCAGCAAGUCAGGGGUGAAAUCCCGGGGCUCAACCCCGGAACUGCCCUUGAAACUGCAGUGCUAGAAUCUUGGAGAGGCGAGUGGAAUUCCGAGUGUAGAGGUGAAAUUCGUAGAUAUUCGGAAGAACACCAGUGGCGAAGGCGACUCGCUGGACAAGUAUUGACGCUGAGGUGCGAAAGCGUGGGGAGCAAA